rnacentral:lncRNA from 1 species
GUAACAGGGGAACAGGGGAAGCCACUGGGGGAUUUUCACCCCUUCAAAGAUGUGAUCCACCAAACUGUUGCCAAGGGAGACAUGGAAUGGGCAAAGGGCAUGGAAACCCUUUAAUGUCUGUCAGUCUUUACUAGAGAGGUGGAUGUUGUGUUGCCAUGGUAUCAUCAUGUUGAAGAUAGAUACACAUUCCACUUCCCAGAAUACCAUGUCCUUUUCAGAGUGAACACCUCCAUCUUCCUCUCUUACCUUCAACCUAGAGACCGGCUGUUCUCCUGAGUUGAAGCUGACUGUUCUCUGUUCUCCUGAGUUGAGACUGACUGUUCUCCUGGGCUGAGGCUGGCUGUUCUCCUGGGUUGAGGCUGGCUGUUCUCCUGGGCUGAGGCUGGCUGUUCUCCUGGGUUGAGGCUGGCUGUUCUCCUGGGUUGAGGCUGGCUGUUCUCUGUUCUCCUGGGUUGAGGCUGGCUGCUCUCCUGGGUUGAGGCUGGCUGCUCUCCUGGGUUGAGGCUGGCUGUUCUCCUGGGCUGUGGCUGGCUGUUCUCUGUUCUCCUGGGUUGAGACUGGCUGCUCUCCUGGGCUAAGCCUGGCUGUUCUCCUGGGUUGAGGCUGGCUGUUCUCCUGGGUUGAGGCUGGCUGUUCUCUGUUCUCCUGGGUUGAGGCUGGCUGUUCUCCUGGGUUGAGGCUGGCUGUUCUCCUGAGUUGAGACUGGCGGUUCUCUGUUCUCCUGAGUUGAGACUGGCUGUUCUCUGUUCUCCUGAGUUGAAGCUGACUGUUCUCUGUUCUCCUGAGUUGAGGCUGACUGUUCUCCUGGGCUGAGGCUGGCUGUUCUCCUGGGUUGAGACUGGCUGUUCUCUGUUCUCCUGGGUUGAGGCUGGCUGUUCUCUGUUCUCCUGAGUUGAAGCUGACUGUUCUCUGUUCUCCUGAGUUGAGGCUGACUGCUCUCCUGGGUUGAGGCUGGCUGUUCUCCUGGGCUGAGACUGGCUGUUCUCUGUUCUCCUGGGUUGAGGCUGGCUGCUCUCCUGGGCUGAGCCUGGCUGUUCUCCUGGGUUGAGGCUGGCUGUUCUCCUGGGUUGAGGCUGGCUGUUUUCUGUUCUCCUGAGUUGAAGCUGACUGUUCUCCUGGGCUGAGGCUGGCUGUUCUCCUGGGCUGAGGCUGGCUGUUCUCCUGAGUUGAGACUGACUGUUCUCUGUUCUCCUGAGUUGAGAAUGACUGUUCUCCUGGGCUGAGGCUGGCUGUUCUCCUGGGCUGAGGCUGGCUGUUCUCCUGGGCUGAGGCUGGCUGUUCUCCUGGGUUGAGGCUGACUGUUCUCCUGGGCUGAGGCUGGCUGUUCUCCUGGGCUGAGGCUGGCUGUUCUCCUGGGUUGAGGCUGACUGUUCUCCUGGGCUGAGGCUGACUGUUCUCCUGGGUUGAGGCUGGCUGUUCUCCUGGGUUGAGGCUGACUGUUCUCCUGGGCUGAGGCUGACUGUUCUCCUGGGCUGAGGCUGACUGUUCUCCUGGGCUGAGGCUGACUGUUCUCCUGGGCUGAGGCUGACUGUUCUCCUGGGCUGAGGCUGACUGUUCUCCUGGGUUGAGGCUGGCUGUUCUCCUGAGUUGAGACUGGCUGUUCUCUGUUCUCCUGAGUUGAGACUGGCUGUUCUCUGUUCUCCUGAGUUGAAGCUGACUGUUCUCUGUUCUCCUGAGUUGAGGCUGACUGUUCUCCUGGGCUGAGGCUGGCUGUUCUCCUGGGUUGAGACUGGCUGUUCUCUGUUCUCCUGGGUUGAGGCUGGCUGUUCUCUGUUCUCCUGAGUUGAAGCUGACUGUUCUCUGUUCUCCUGAGUUGAGGCUGACUGCUCUCCUGGGUUGAGGCUGGCUGUUCUCCUGGGCUGAGACUGGCUGUUCUCUGUUCUCCUGGGUUGAGGCUGGCUGCUCUCCUGGGCUGAGCCUGGCUGUUCUCCUGGGUUGAGGCUGGCUGUUUUCUGUUCUCCUGAGUUGAAGCUGACUGUUCUCCUGGGCUGAGGCUGGCUGUUCUCCUGGGUUGAGGCUGACUGUUCUCCUGGGUUGAGGCUGGCUGUUCUCCUGGGUUGAGGCUGGCUGUUCUCCUGGGCUGAGGCUGACUGUUCUCCUGGGCUGAGGCUGACUGUUCUCCUGGGCUGAGGCUGACUGUUCUCCUGGGCUGAGGCUGACUGUUCUCCUGGGCUGAGGCUGAC